rnacentral:rRNA from 1 species
AAACGAACUUGGAGAUAGCUGGUUCUCUCCGAAAUAGCUUUAGGGCUAGCCUCGCAAAGAGGAUGCUGGAGGUAGAGCUCUGUUUGGACUAGGGGCCCGUCAAGGGUUACUGAAUUCAGAUAAACUGCGAAUUCCAGACAUUUAUGUGCGGGAGUCAGACUGCGAGUGAUAAGAUCCGUAGUCGAAAGGGAAACAGCCCAGAUCACCAGUUAAGGUCCCAAAAUUCAUGCUAAGUGGAAAAGGAUGUGGAGUUGCGCAGACAACUAGGACGUUGGCUCAGAAGCAGCCAUCAUUCAAAGAGUGCGUAAUAGCUCACUAGUCGAGUGACGCCGCGCCGAAAAUUUACCGGGGCUAAGCAUGAUACCGAAACUGUGGAUGUGCAUUUAUGCACGUGGUAGGAGAGCGUUCUAGCGGCGGUGAAGCAUGACCGAGAGGACAUGUGGAGCUUCUAGAAGUGAGAAUGCCGGUAUGAGUAACGAAAGACAGGUGAGAAUCCUGUCCGCCGCAAGACUAAGGUUUCCUGGGGCAGGCUCGUCCGCCCAGGGUAAGUCGGGACCUAAGGCGAGGCCGAGAGGCGUAGUCGAUGGACAACAGGUUGAAAUUCCUGUACUGCACCGAAUCGUUAUGAGCGAUGGAGGGACGCAGGAGGCUAGCAGCGCGUGGUGCUGGAUACCACGUUCAAGCGUCAAGUCUGAGAGCGAGUCAAAUGCUUGCUCUCAUAAGGACAAGGCGUGAUGAGGAGCGAAAUUAAAGUAGCGAAGGCUGCGACGUCACACUGCCGAGAAAAGCUUCUAGCCAGAGACGGUGCACCCGUACCGCAAACCGACACAGGUAGUCGAGGAGAGUAUCCUCAGGUGAGCGAGAGAACUCUCGUUAAGGAACUCGGCAAAAUGGCCCCGUAACUUCGGGAGAAGGGGCGCUGGUCGCAAGAUCAGCCGCAGUGAAAAGGCCCAAGCAACUGUUUAUCAAAAACACAGGCAUCUGCAAAAUCGUAAGAUGAAGUAUAGGUGCUGACACCUGCCCGGUGCUGGAAGGUUAAGAGGAGAGCUUAGCGCAAGCGAAGGUUUGAAUUGAAGCCCCAGUAAACGGCGGCCGUAACUAUAACGGUCCUAAGGUAGCGAAAUUCCUUGUCGGGUAAGUUCCGACCUGCACGAAAGGUGUAAUGAUUUGGGCACUGUCUCAACGAGAGACUCGGUGAAAUUAUAAUACCCGUGAAGAUGCGGGUUACCCGCGACAGGACGGAAAGACCCCAUGGAGCUUUACUGCAGUUUAAUAUUGGGUAUCUGUCAAGCAUGUACAGGAUAGGUAGGAGCCGGAGAAGAUAGGACGCCAGUCUUAUC